AAAAAUGAGCCCGUGACAAGUGGUAUCAAAACAUAGAAUUAAGAGCAAAGUGUGAAUGUUAUUGCAGCGAUCACGUCAAAGCAUAGAUUGACAUUCGUCGUGCUCAUGAAGAUCGUUUGAGACGAUGCUACCUUGUAAAGGGAAUUGGUUGUAUGUUGAGACGCUUGAGUUAGCUAUGUCAACCAAGGCCCAUCAUUUCAGAAUCACGCCAUGUCACAACCGUUGAUUCCGCCUUCGUCUGUGUGGGUUGAUUCGUCUUCGAAGCAUCCGAGAGUGAUUGAGAAACCUUCAAGGGAUGACUUCAAAUCAGUGGGUACCGUAUGUAGAGGGACUCUAUAGAGGCACGUUGGGCCAACAGGUGUGGUCAUCGUGCGAUGCUGUUUGAGUGGAACCACAAAGUUGGACAAUCGGAUAGCUGGUGCUCAAAUGUCCUUGAUUGUGGGGAACCGUCAGUUCGUCAGAAACUCUGUUAGCGGUAUGUUGGCAACUAUGGUCAGAAGAUAGCAUGGACUUGACAAGGACGUCAAGAAAGGUUGGCGAAGUGCAUUAGAAGCUUGUCAGUCAAGUAUCUUGUUCAUGCAAAGCGACGAGCCAGGAUUGUCAUCCAUGAAAGAGUCUAGGCUGAGUUAAAGAAGGGGAUAUGCCGAUAAGUCGGAUGGUCAAGAGGAUGAGCCACGUCUGCCAGGUCGUGCAGCCAUGUUCCAAGAGAGUUGAAGCCGUAGACUAUAAACAUGGGGCUUGAUCAUGCUUAGGUCUUGCCAUGGAUGCAAUUAAGGCAUCAAGUUGAGUGUCCACCAAGAAGGUUGGACUUGAGCUUUGUCGAGGGCAUGUGAAGGGGUCCGUCUAAAGAAAGUCGGUCUCAAGGUUGGAACGACAACCUAGCCACCUAAUGGGAUGCGAAGAGUGGCAGGAGAGGCCCUAAACCUAGCCACCUAAUGGGUUGCGAAGAGGGGCAGGAGAGUCCCUAAACCUAGCCAUCCAAUGGGUUGCGAGGAGUGGCAGGAGAGUCCCUACAGAAGAGAGCCAUGCAGGAUGAGUGGGCAGUGAAGCCGACGGCAUGGGCAAGCAGAGCUUGCAGUUGGAGAGAGUGCUAUGCAGGGCAAAA
rnacentral:lncRNA from 1 species